rnacentral:rRNA from 1 species
UACGUAGGGUGCAAGCGUUAAUCGGAAUUACUGGGCGUAAAGCGUGCGCAGGCGGUUUUGUAAGUCAGAUGUGAAAUCCCCGGGCUUAACCUGGGAACUGCGUUUGAAACUACAAGGCUAGAGUGUGACAGAGGGGGGUGGAAUUCCACGUGUAGCAGUGAAAUGCGUAGAUAUGCGGAGGAACACCGAUGGCGAAGGCAAUCCCCUGGGCCUGCACUGACGCUCAUGCACGAAGCGUGGGGAGCAAACAGG